rnacentral:tRNA from 1 species
GGUUCCAUAGUGCAGCGGUGAGCGCGUCUGCUUUACAUGCAGAAGGUCCUGGGUUUGCACCCCUUGGAGCCA